rnacentral:rRNA from 1 species
AGCAGCCGCGGUAAUUCCAGCUCCAAUAGCGUAUAUUAAAGUUGUUGCAGUUAAAAGCUCGUAGUUGAAUUUCGGGAUUGACGUAAUGGUCGUGCCUUAAGGGGUAUGAACUGUUACUGUUGAUUUCUCACCUUCUGGAGAAUCUUGAUGUCCUUAAUUGGGUGUCUUGUGGAUCCAGGACCUUUACCUUGAAAAAUUAGAGUGUUUAAAGCAGGCAUUUUGCUCGAAUACAUUAGCAUGGAAUAAUAGAAUAGGACGGCAUGGUUCUAUUUUGUUGGUUUCUAGGAUCACCGUAAUGAUUAAUAGGGAUAGUUGGGGGCAUUAGUAUUCAAUUGUCAGAGGUGAAAUUCUUGGAUUUAUUGAAGACUAACUACUGCGAAAGCAUUUGCCAAGGAUGUUUUCAUUAAUCAAGAACGAAAGUUAGGGGAUCGAAGACGAUCAGAUACCGUCGUAGUCUUAACCAUAAACUAUGCCGACUAGGAAUCAGACGAUGUUAAUUUUUAAUGACUCGUUUGGCUAC